GAUGAACGCUAGCGGCAGGCUUAACACAUGCAAGUCGAGGGGUAUAGUUCUUCGGAACUAGAGACCGGCGCACGGGUGCGUAACGCGUAUGCAAUCUACCUUUUGCAGAGGGAUAGCCCAGAGAAAUUUGGAUUAAUACCUCAUAGUAUAGCAGUUUCGCAUGAAACCACUAUUAAAGUCACAACGGCAAAAGAUGAGCAUGCGUCCCAUUAGCUAGUUGGUAAGGUAACGGCUUACCAAGGCUACGAUGGGUAGGGGUCCUGAGAGGGAGAUCCCCCACACUGGUACUGAGACACGGACCAGACUCCUACGGGAGGCAGCAGUGAGGAAUAUUGGACAAUGGGCGCGAAGCCUUGAUCCAGCCAUGCCGCGUGCGGGAUGAAGGCCUCGGUUGGUUAAACGUAGUCUUUG
rnacentral:rRNA from 1 species